rnacentral:lncRNA from 1 species
CCAAAUCUAAACCCAAUGCUAAUAGUCUCCCUCUCCCUCAACACACAGCCCCGUAAUCCCAUUUCUCAGAGGUCUCAAAUUUCAAUCUCCUACUUUCACGCAAUACGUUUCCCCCAAAAUUUUUGUCACAACUACGUACCUUCUAGGUUAUAAAAGUUAAAAUUCACUUACCAAUUUUGUUCAAACAAUCAGAUAACCCCUUCAUUUUUUUACUUUCUCGUUUUCCUAUUUGUCUUGCAAGAACAAUCAAACAAUGGUGCGAACGGUAAAGCGGGAAUUGAUGGACAAUCGAGCAGUUGAAAUACCUCAACUUUAAGAAUUGGAUUAGCGGUAAUUUGAUUUCCCAUCAUUUUAGCAAUUUCUUUCUUUGUUUUUGUAUUUCAAUUUUGAGUUAUUUAUUUAUUUUGCAUAUUCGGGUCAUUAAUGUCUCUG